rnacentral:lncRNA from 1 species
ACGCCGCAGGCCUCUCUUCUGCACUUGAGUUUCCUGCCCCUUAAAUAUCGCUUUACCAGGAAAGGAGAACACCUUCACCCAAAGGACCAGCGGAGAUGUGAGGACAUCUGACUGCAGGCCACACAGCUGAGUUGGCAGGGAAGGCAGCUGGUGGCCACUUCCUGCCUCACCCUGCAGGAAGGAGGUACCCAGGAAAAGGACGUUAGAGCUGUAACCACUAUAGAUGGUUCCUGUUCCUCUCCAGGGACAGCAGCCUCCUCAUGUGGACUACUUCUGUAGGCCAGAUGGGGGAUAUCUAAGCACACAGACAGGAUUGAAAGCGGUCCAUCUGCGACAGCAUCUCCCACUGAACUGGGGCUUACCAAUUGGCUAGACUGGCUGGCCAAUAUGCCCUGAGCAUCUAGUUCUGCUUCCCCAGAACUGGUGAGGAAUAGGGUAUUUUUACAGCCCUGAUCCUUGCAUGCUUUGGACACAUUCACCACUUGACUUGGCCCAGGAAAACCUGGUUGACUCUUAGUUUUCAGUUUGGCAAUAGUGCAACCUUUUUGGAGUCUGUCUUAGAAGGUUCUACCAUGGUUCUGUGAUAUUAAGCAAUUGUGAUCAUGAUAGUAGAUGCUGUUCCUUGAGGACCCUCCCCUGCUUCUGUGGUAUAGGGCAAUAAGAUGGAAUGAGGGGGUCUCACAGAUGGGAUUAACUAUGGGGACUGUGGAAAGCAUGGACUACUUAUAUUGAUACCCACAGGGCCCUGUCUUCCUGAAGUCCUGCGUUUCAAGAAGCCCAAGCUCAAGGAAUCUCCUCCAGACAUGUGACAGACCUCAGCUGGCAAAAAUCCUUCUUCAGGGCUACCCAG